rnacentral:rRNA from 1 species
ACUCCUACGGGAGGCAGCAGUAGGGAAUCUUGCGCAAUGGGCGAAAGCCUGACGCAGCCAUGCCGCGUGAAUGAUGAAGGUCUUAGGAUUGUAAAAUUCUUUCACCGGGGAAGAUAAUGACGGUACCCGGAGAAGAAGCCCCGGCUAACUACGUGCCAGCAGCCGCGGUAAUACGUAGGUGGCAAGCGUUGUUCGGAAUUAUUGGGCGUAAAGGGCGCGCAGGCGGUUCGCUAAGACCGAUGUGAAAUCCCCGGGCUUAACCUGGGAACUGCAUUGGUGACUGGCGGGCUAGAGUAUGGCAGAGGGGGGUAGAAUUCCACGUGUAGCAGUGAAAUGCGUAGAGAUGUGGAGGAAUACCGAUGGCGAAGGCAGCCCCCUGGGCCAAUACUGACGCUCAUGCACGAAAGCGUGGGGAGCAAACAGGAUUAGAUACCCUGGUAGUCCUAGCCCUAAACGAUGACUGCUUGGUGUGACGGGUACCCAAUCCCGCCGUGCCGUAGCUAACGCGUUAAGCAGUCCGCCUGGGGAGUACGGUCGCAAGGCUGAAACUUAAAGGAAUUGACG